CAUUGUUUUCGAAAGUUAGUUAAAACCAUGUUAAUGGUUUGAUUUGUGAAGCAGGGAACCAACACCAGCAUUUUUCAUGCCUUUUUUCACCUUUUCUAAUAAGUUCUCAGAGCCUUUGGAUUUUACCAUUGAUUAUGGUAAGGUUCUUGGCACAUAACAUACUUGUUAGAUAAAUAUAUUUUAAACCAAACUAAGUAUGAGUAGAAGAUGAAUCACAAAAAUGACUUACUUAAGGAAGUAAUAAAUUUUGUGUGUGUGGGGGGGGUUAAAUAAGGCAAGGCAGCAUUGAUUCUCUGAAAGAUACUUUCUGUAAAAAUAAUAACAUCAUUUAUGAUUUGAGACAUUCUACUUGGCCUCAGUACACUGGAGACCUUUAACUUCCCCAAAGUAUAGGUUUAUCAUCAAUGAUGCUAGGAUCCAUACAAAAACUGAAGAGGGAUUAUAGAGAAUUCAAGGGAAGAUAAUUUCAGAUGAGUCCAAUCUAUCACCCCACAAGGGCUAACAAUUGUUAUAUUACUUUUACCUCUUCCCUGUCACCAUGGCAUACUGAUUGGCUGGGGAGAUGGCAUACUGAUUAGAUGGAUUAACUGAUAUGAACUAGAAAGGCUGGACUGAAACAGAUUGGUGGAGAAGACAACAUGGAGCUUACUUUCUGAGAUUCAAAAGCCCCGAAGAAAGUCCAGAGAGGAUAACUCAGGAUUAUCACUAAAGGGCCUAUAUUUUAUUUCACGAUAGGUCAGAACAGCUACAGACUCCUGAGUCACCCUCACUUUCGGUAUUUCCUCUGAAAAUUCCCUUCUCUGCAAGAUCAACUAGCAAAAAGAACUAAUGACCAUACAAAGCAAAUGUCAUUAGGAAUGAAGGCUAUUUAGUAUCAGAGAAUAUUUAUAUCCCAUGAGUAAUUUAUUAACUCAAGGACAGCUCCAACAUGUAGAUUACACAGGGGAAAGAUUUUUGAGAGGAAAGGACCUUCUGGUGCUGUUUGACAGUCUUAGUACCUAUAAUCUAUUUUCCAACAAUUGUUACCAAGAAUAAAAACAGAGACAUAUUGAAAAACAUGUUAGCCACAUACCAUACACCCUACUUUUCCUCAUUUGUGCAUGAGGUUCUCUACUAGACUCUGAAUGAAACCACCAUUGCCAUAGGAUAGAAGGUGUUCUGCAAAUGUCAAUAUUCAAAACUGUGGAGAAUCCCUUUAAGUUACUUUACAUAUAGUCCAGGAAGUAAAUUCCAGACAAAUAAAUCAUUUUGGAGUCACAGCUUCUAUUAUUGUGUCACACAUACACAGGAAAAAUGAAGUUCUUUUCAGAAGACUCAUCCUCUUCAGAAACCUAUAGAGUUACUUUUGCCAAGAAACAUACUUCUUUAGAACUUCUUAGUUCUGUCUUUAAUUUUAUGAUGUACAGUACUAGACGAAUGAAGAGCUUGUGAAGUAUGUUAAUGAAAGUGAAAGACUUCACAGUGGGCAGCUGCACUGCAAACCCCACAGCUAAACAGCAUUAUUUAAUGAAAGAAUGGAGGCUGGUGGAAGAGGACACUCUUGUGAGGCCUACAUUGCUGAGACUAGAUAGAUCCUAAGCAGAGGCAAGAAGGAUAUACAGUCAUAGCAGGAUUCAAUUUGGCGGCAACAGUGCGUAUUCAGCAGCAUUACUCAGUCAACAUGUCCUGACGGUGUGUGGAGUGACCUUCUAGAUUUUGUGGGGAGUGAUGAUGGCAAUAUUUCCUGGAGAAGCACGCUCAAUAAAGGAGAAAUGGGAUUAACACAACUGUGACAAAACUGCACUAAGUGAUUGGAAAGUAGGAAGCAUGUGGGCAAAUGAAUAGGCUACUGGCCUGAUUAAACCAGGAAAUCUCAAGCAGCACUGGAGUUCUGAAAGAAUUAAGGGGUGUGGCUGGUGGAAAGCUGACAAAACUCCCUCAGAGGGGGCAAUAGCAUGGAUAUGAAAUAGAAAUCAGCUAAAAAUAUUUAUUGUGUCCAUUGUACUAUAUACCAGUCAUUAAAAACAUGUGAAAUAGAGACAUUUUUAUAAGCUUGUAGGAGAACAUUAUAUGCUUUCAUGGAAGAAAGACAACGUAUUAUAGUCAUUCAAAAAUGGAUGUCAAGUAAUAUAGUGAAUAUAGAUACCCAAUUGCAGAGGUAAAGCUCAGUUGUGUAGAAAGAGCUUUAGAGUUGGGUCAGGUGAAAGAGAUAAAGGGAGAAAUGCUCUAUGAUAUGACUUAUAGAUGAAGUCUGGGGAUAACAGAAAUAUUCUAGGAACGGGAUGAUGGUGAAUAUAUUGCUGCUCGUGAAGACAAUUCUAAUAAAAAAAUGCGUGGCUUGGAAAACAUACUUGCUUAGUUAGAUGGCUUGUUUGGGCUAUGAUGAUAAAUUAGGUGGAUUCGUUAGGUAAUACACUUGACUUUAUAAAUAACCAACUGUAAAAUCUAAACAUUUACAUAAAUUUAUCAUGACUGUCUUAACAUGUGUUGUGUGCUUCUGAGUUUUCCGCUUCUCUUCCAUUUUGCCAAAUGAAAAAUCUGUCUCAAAUCCAAUUCUCCUACCGCUCUCUAAAGUGUUUGACCCUACAGCAGUCUUCUGGUUCUUCAACUAUGUCCUCUCUUUGGUUCUAUGACAUUAUAUCACCCUGGAGCUUACAUAGGCUGAUUAUUCUUUCCUGUCUUCCUUCAUUGAUUCCAUUUGCAGUUUAUGAGCCCCGAAAUUUGGGCAUAGGUCCCCAUAUUCAUCUCAACUUUCUUUUAUCAAUGUAUACUGUCAUGGUGGCACUAAUUCACUAAUUUUCUUUUUUCUUUUCUUUUCUUUCUCUUUUUUUUUUUUUUUUUUUUUUUUUUUUUUGAGACAGGGUCGCACUCUUGUUGCCCAGGCUGGAGUGCAGUGGCACAAUCUCAGCUCACUGCAACCUCUGCCUCCCAGGUUCAAGCAAUUCUCGUGCCUCAGACUCCUGAGUAGAUGGGAUUACGGGUGCACACCAUCACGCACGGGUAAUUUUUGUAUUUUUAGUAGAGACGGGGUUUCACCAUGUUAGCCAGGCUGGUCUCGACCUGCGGCACUAAUUUUCUGUCAAAACAGAGACCUCUCAAACUAGUUAUAUUUCUAGAUAAAUUUUAGAUAUUCCAGAAGAUCCAGAAUCAACUCUAAUACAACACAUCCUAAAUCAAAUUCAUUCUCCCCUAAUCAUCUUCCUUUCGAUCUUUCAUAUUUGUCAAUGACACUCCAUAAGCAGGUAUGCUGAAAGCACUCGUUCUUUUUUGUUCUCGCUCCAUCUCAUAUCAAUGCGAUAAAUCACCAUGUUUUAUCUUUCUUUUUUUUUUUUUUUUUUUUUUUUUUGAGACAGAGUCUCGCUCUGUCUCCAUGCUGGAGUGUAGUGGCGCAAUCUGGGCUCACUGCAACCCCCGCCUCCCGGUUCAAGCGAUUCUCCUGCCUCAGCCUCCUGAGUAGCUGGGACUACAGGCGUGCACCCACCAUGCCCAGCUAAUUUUUGUAUUUUUAGUAGAGACGGGAUUUCACCUUGUUGGCCAGGAUGGUCUUGAUCUCUUGACCUUGUGAUCCAUCUGCCUCGGCCUCCCAAAGUGCUGGGAUUACAGGUGUGAGCCACCGCACCCGACCUAUGUUUUAUCUUUCUAUCUUUGAAAUAUGUCAUUUCUGUCAUUGUUCUAAAUGUUUUAUUAUGCAUUAUUUGAUAAUAGAAAAAUAUAUAUUCUAACAGAUAUAUCCUAUACAUGUUAUAUAUAUUCUAAAUAUUCUAACAUAUAUAGUUAGAAACCAUAGGCGUAAGAAGACUAGUGAAAUCACUGUCUGUAAAGACACUCUAUAAAUUCUUUCCAGAUCUUGUUUCCUCAUAUAUCUAAACAUAACCACUCUCCUGAAUUUGUGUGAAUUACUUCCUUACUAUUAAAACUGCUUUAUCAAAUGUAUGUAUUUGUAAAGAAAGAAUAUAUGGUUUAAUUUUGCUUGUCUUUGAACUUCAUAAAAAUGAUAUAUUCAGCAAUCCAUUUUUUAAAAUCUGUAACUCAUAUAGCUGUAGUCUAUUCCUUUUCACUGUCAAAUAACAACUUGCAAUGUUGGAUAUACCACAGUUAAUUUAUCUAUUAUGUUAGUGAUCAUUUUGAUUUUUUCCAUGUUUUUGCUUUUGUGAACAAUGCUACCAUGAAUAUUCCGUUUUAGGGUAUGUUUCUUGUCACCUAUUUGCAAGAAUUUCUUCAAGAUAUAUUCCUGGGAUUGAAAAACUUAUUGCAAGUUACAUACUUGUUCAGACUUAGAAGAUGGUGCCAGUUUGUGUUCUAGACUGAUUGUACCAAUUUAUGCUCCUCCUAGCACUAUGCAAGAGUCCUACUGCCUCAUGUGAUGGUUAGUUAUAUGUAACAACUUGACUGGCCAUGGGGUACCCAGAUAUUUGUUUAAAUAUUAUUUCUGGGUGUGUCUGUGAGUGUGUUGCUGGAUGAUACUAGCAUUUGAAUUGGCAGGCUGAAUAAAGCAGAUUGCCCUCCCCAUCAGCCAAUUCAUUGUAUAGGCAUCAUCCAGUUCACUCAAGGCGUGAAUAGAACAAAAAGGUGGAGGAAGGGAGAAUUUACUGAUUCUUCCUGACUGAUUGAGCUGAGACAUUAGUCUUCUGCUCUCACACUAGAACUUAACACCAUUGGCUCUCCGGGUUCUCAAGCUUUUAGGCCUAGACUUGAACUUACACUGUCAGCUUUCCUCGUUUUAAGGCCUUUGGACUCAGGCUGGAACUAUACCACUGACUUUCCUAAGUCUCUAGCUUGCAGAUGGCAGAUUGUGGGGCUUCUCAGCCUCCAUAAUCACAUGAACCAAUUUUUUAUAAUACAUCUCUUCAUAUAUAUAUAUAUAUAUAUAUAUAUAUAUCUUUAUAUAAAAUAUAAUAUAUACAUAUGUUAGCUAGAUCCUAUUGGUUCUGUUUCUUUGGAGAACCCUGACUAACAUUCUUCAUAUGUUCACCAACACUUGACACUUGAUAUUUUUUAAGUCGGAGUCUCACGUCACCCAGGCUGGAGUGCAGUGGUGGGAUCAUAGCUCACUGGAACCUCAAACUCUUGAGCUCAAGUGAUCUGCCCACCUCAGCCUCCCAAGUAGCUGGAACUACAGGCACAUGGCACCAUACUCAACCCAGUUAAAAAAAAUUGUGGAGUAGGGGCCUUUCCAAGGAUAGUCUUGAACUCCUAGCCUCAAGUGAUCUUCCUGCCUUUGUGUCCCAAAGCACUAGGAUUACGGGCAUAAGCCACCACACCCAGUCUCCAACACUUGAUAUUGUCAGACUUCUUAAUGUUUGACCUGAUGGGUACAAGUGCACAUCUCAUGGCCCCACUAUGUUGCCCAGGUUGUUCUUGAACUCCUGGGCUCAUAUAAUCCUCUUGCCUUAGCCUCCCCAAAUGUUGGGAUUACAGGCAUGAGUCACUGAAUCUGGCCUUCUUUAGGAGAAUUUUAGCUAUCUUAGGCCUUUGCUUUACCAUAUAACCCCCUAGAGUCACAUUUUCAUUAACCCUAUUGCACUUUCCUGCCUGCAAUUAAAUAAUGAAUAUGUGUGUGUAUUUAUUCAUUAUUUAUGUUUCCUAAUCUAUGAAAUGCCUCUUUAUGCCUAUUGCCCAGAUUUCUAUUAUUGUGUUUAUCUUUUUCUUGAUUCGAUGGAAGUGUCUUCUAUCUUGGCUCUUAAUCCUAAUUCAUUUGUGAUUAUAAGUGCUGAAUAUAUCUUCUCUCAGAAUAUAAUUAUUUUUUAUCUUUAUAGUGUCUCGUGAUUAACAGGACAUUAAUUUUAAUGCAGUCAAAUGUAUUAAUUAUCCUUUUAUGGUCAGCACUAUUUGUGUCUGGUGUAAGAAGUCCUUCUCAACCCCAAGAUCAGAAAGAUAUUCUUCUGAUGUUCUUUUUAAAGUACAAAUGCUUUGCUUUUCAUAUUUAAAUUAAUAAUAUACCUGGGAUUGAUUUUUAUGAUGGUAUAACGUAGGAAUCUAAUUUCGUUUUCCAUAUGGGUAACCAGUUUUCCCAGCUUUAUUUAUUGAAAAUCCACUGUUCUAAUGAGAACAUUUGGACACAGGGUGGGGAACAUCACACACCAGGGCCUGUCGUGGGGUGGGGGGAGGGGAGAGGGAUAGCAUUAGGAGAUAUACCUAAUGUAAAUGACGAGUUAAUGGGUGCAGCACACCAACAUGGCACAUGUAUACAUAUGUAACAAACCUGCACACGUACCUUAGAACUUAAAGUAUAAUUAAAAAAAAAAAGAAAAUCCCAUGUUGUUUUACACAUUUCUAUAAAUGGAUAGGUUUAUUUUUAGGGUCUGUAAUCUGGUCCAUUGUUUAAUUUCUUUAUUCCUGAGCCAAUAACCUCCCGUUUAAUAACUAGUGAGUACCCUGCUCCUUACUGUUCUUCUUCAGGAUAAUUUUUUUUUUUUUUUGAGACAGGGUUUCACUCUGUUGCCCAGGCUGGCAUGCAGUGGUAUGAUCAUGGCUCACUGUAGCCUCAACCUCCCUGACUCAAGUGAUCCUCCCACCUCAGCCUCUCAAGUAGCUGGGACUACAGGCAUACACCACCAUGCCUGGCUAAUUUUUAAAAUUUUUUGUAGCAACUAAGUCCUACUAUGUUGCCCAGGUUGGUCUGGAACUCCUGGGCUCAAGCAAUCCUCUUGCUUUGGCCUCCUCACAUGCUGGGAUUACAGGCAUAAGCCACUGUGCCUGGCCUUCUUUAGGAGAAUUUUGGCUGUCUUGAGCCUUUGCUUUACCAUGUAACUUUUAGCAUCACAUUUUCAUUAACCCUGUUGUGAUUUUGAUUGAAAAUGCAUAUAUUACUUUGGGCAGAUGAUAUCUUUAUAGAUCAUAUAUUAGCAUUAUUUUUAUUUAGAUUGUCUUUUAUGUCUUUCAAUAAAAAUUUUAAAAAUCUCCACUUAGAAUUCAUUUACCUAUGUUAAAUUUAUUCCUAGUUACCUUAUACAUCUUACUGCUAUUGUAAAUGGCAUCUCUUUUCUAAUUUAUAUGUUCUGGUCUUUUGCUCGUAUAUAGUUGAUGCAGUAGAUUUUGUAGAUUGAUCUUAUAUUCAACCACUUAACAAAACUUGUUAAUUUGUCAGUAUAAUUUAUGUUAUUAUUAUUUCUAAGCAAAUGAUUCCACAUAGCAUGCUGUGCUAGGCACUAUUCAGAACACUAAAUAUUUAUCACAACAGCCCUUUUAAGCAGGGUCAUUUUUCAUCUCCAUUUUACUCACAAGGAAAUUAACCACAAAGAGAUUAAAUCAUUAGCUCAAAGCCACAAAUUACCAUCUGAACACAGAAGGGAGGACUUAAACCCAGGCAGUUGAUUUCUAAGCUCCAUGCUCACCAAGAGCUUUGCUGCCUCUCUGCUAGGCUAUCCAGUUGUGAUCCUUCCCUUUCCUUCCCUGCCC
rnacentral:lncRNA from 1 species